CAGAAGAGAAAUGAUCGCUGUUUUGUAGUAUUCCUAUAAAACAGAGGAAAGUCCGGGCUCCUUCGGAAAAAAUGCCGGUUAAUUGCCGGGCAAAAUGAACGAAAGUUUAUUUUGACAGAUAGUGCAACAGAAAAUAAACCGCCUUGAAAAAGGUAAGGGUGAAAAGGCAGGGUAAGAGCCUACCGCACUUUUGGUAACAAAAGUGGCAGUGUAAACCUCAUUUGGAGCAAGAUCAAGCAGUAAUCUAACUCCGAUUUAUGAUUACGGGUAGAUCGCUACAGAUAUUCAGUAAUGGAUAUUGCAGAUAGAUGAUCAUUAUGUAGUUUUUACAUAGACAGAACUCGGCUUAUUUUCUCUUCUGUUUU
rnacentral:RNase_P_RNA from 2 species